CACGUAGGGUGCAAGCGUUGUCCGGAAUCAUUGGGCGUAAAGAGCUCGUAGGUGGCGACGUAAGUCGGGUGUGAAAGCCCCGGGCUCAACCUGGGAAUUGCAUUCGAGACUGCAUUGCUGGAGUACGGAAGAGGAAGGCGGAAUUCCCGGUGUAGCGGUGAAAUGCGUAGAUAUCGGGAGGAACAUCAGUGGCGAAGGCGGCCUUCUGGUCCAGUACUGACACUCAAGUGCGAAAGCGUGGGGAGCAAACAGG
rnacentral:rRNA from 1 species